UACGUAGGGGGCAAGCGUUGUCCGGAAUCCUUGGGCGUAAAGCGCGUGUAGGCGGCCCGGUAAGUCCGCUGUGAAAGUCGGGGGCUCAACCCUCGAAUGCCGGUGGAUACUGUCGGGCUAGAGUGCGGAAGAGGCGAGUGGAAUUCCUGGUGUAGCGGUGAAAUGCGCAGAUAUCAGGAGGAACACCAAUUGCGAAGGCAGCUCGCUGGGACGUGACUGACGCUGAGACGCGAAAGCGUGGGGAGCAAACAGG
rnacentral:rRNA from 1 species